CAAGUCUUGACAUCCGGACGACCGGGACUUAACCGUCCCUUCCCUUCGGGGCGUCCGAGACAGGUGGUGCAUGGUUGUCGUCAGCUCGUGUCGUGAGAUGUUGGGUUAAGUCCCGCAACGAGCGCAACCCUUACCUUCAGUAGCCAGCGGCAAGGCCGGGCACUCUGGAGGGACUGCCAGGGACAACCUGGAGGAAGGUGGGGAUGACGUCAAAUCAUCAUGCCCCUUAUGAUUUGGGCUACACACGUGCUACAAUGGCGUAAACAAAGGGAAGCGAGCGUGCGAACGUAAGCAAGUCUCAAAAAUAACGUCUCAGUUCGGAUUGUAGUCUGCAACUCGACUACAUGAAGCUGGAAUCGCUAGUAAUCGCGAAUCAGCAUGUCGCGGUGAAUACGUUCCC
rnacentral:rRNA from 1 species